GUGCCCCUACGGGGCGCAGCAGUGAGGAAUAUUGGUCAAUGGGCGCAAGCCUGAACCAGCCAAGUCGCGUGAGGGAUGACGGUCCUAUGGAUUGUAAACCUCUUUUGUCGGGGAGCAAGGCCCGCCACGUGUGGCGGGAAGGAGAGUACCCGAAGAAAAAGCAUCGGCUAACUCCGUGCCAACAGCCGCGGUAAUACGGAGGAUGCGAGCGUUAUCCGGAUUUAUUGGGUUUAAAGGGGGCGUAGGCGGGAGGUUAAGUCAGCGGUCAA
rnacentral:rRNA from 1 species